rnacentral:rRNA from 1 species
AUGAACGCUGGCGGCGUGCCUCAUACAUGCAAGUCGAGCGAACGGACGAGAAGCUUGCUUCUCUGAUGUUAGCGGCGGACGGGUGAGUAACACGUGGAUAACCUACCUAUAAGACUGGGAUAACUUCGGGAAACCGGAGCUAAUACCGGAUGAUAUUUUGAACCGCAUGGUUCAAAAGUGAAAGACGGUCUUGCUGUCACUUAUAGAUGGAUCCGCGCUGCAUUAGCUAGUUGGAAGGUAACGGCUUACCAAGGCAACGAUGCAUAGCCGACCUGAGAGGGUGAUCGGCCACACUGGAACUGAGACACGGUCCAGACUCCUACGGGAGGCAGCAGUAGGGAAUCUUCCGCAAUGGGCGAAAGCCUGACGGAGCAACGCCGCGUGAGUGAUGAAGGUCUUCGGAUCGUAAAACUCUGUUAUUAGGGAAGAACAUAUGUGUAAGUAACUGUGCACAUCUUGACGGUACCUAAUCAGAAAGCCACGGCUAACUACGUG